rnacentral:rRNA from 1 species
GACGAACGCUGGCGGCGUGCUUAACACAUGCAAGUCGAACGAAGUGGCGAACGGGUGAGUAACGCGUAAUCAAACUGCCCUUCAGAGGGGGACAACAGUUGGAAACGACUGCUAAUACCGCAUACUGAAGGAGGGGAUUGCGUCUGAUUAGCUAGUAGGAGGGGUAACGGCCCACCAAGGCGAUGAUCAGUAGCCGGUCUGAGAGGAUGAACGGCGCCAGUGGGACGGAGACACGGCCCAGACUCCUACGGGAGGCAGCACGGGGGAAUCUUCCGCAAUGGACGAAAGUCUGACGGAGCAACGCCGCGUGAGUGAUGACGGCCUUCGGGUUGUAAAGCUCUGUUAAUCGGGACGCGGUACCGGAAUAGAAAGCCACGGCUAACUACGUGCCAGCAGCCGCGGUAAUAC